AAGGAUUUAAGUUAAGCAAACUAUCAACCUUCAAAGUUGGAAAUAAAACCCCAUUUUUAAGCCUUA
rnacentral:tRNA from 1 species